AACGAACGCUGGCGGCAGGCGUAACACAUGCAAGUCGAACGCCCCGCAAGGGGAGUGGCAGACGGGUGAGUAACGCGUGGGAAUCUACCUGGAACUACGGAACAACUGAGGGAAACUUGAGCUAAUACCGUAUACGCCCUACGGGGGAAAGAUUUAUCGGUUUCAGAUGAGCCAGCGUAAGAUUAGCUAGUUGGUGGUGUAAUGGCCUACCAAGGCGACGAUCUUUAGCUGGUCUGAGAGGAUGAUCAGCCACACUGGGACUGAGACACGGCCCAGACUCCUACGGGAGGCAGCAGUGGGGAAUAUUGGACAAUGGGCGCAAGCCUGAUCCAGCCAUGCCGCGUGAGUGAUGAAGGCCUUAGGGUUGUAAAGCUCUUUCAGUGGGGAAGAUAAUGACGGUACCCACAGAAGAAGCCCCGGCUAACUUCGUGCCAGCAGCCGCGGUAACAC
rnacentral:rRNA from 1 species